rnacentral:rRNA from 1 species
UGUGGCCUUGAGCCGUGGCUUUCGGAGCUAACGCGUUAAGUAGACCGCCUGGGGAGUACGGUCGCAAGAUUAAAACUCAAAUGAAUUGACGGGGGCCCGCACAAGCGGUGGAGCAUGUGGUUUAAUUCGAUGCAACGCGAAGAACCUUACCUACUCUUGACAUCCAGAGAACUUUCCAGAGAUGGAUUGGUGCCUUCGGGAACUCUGAGACAGGUGCUGCAUGGCUGUCGUCAGCUCGUGUCGUGAGAUGUUGGGUUA